rnacentral:rRNA from 1 species
CAGCAGCCGCGGUAAUACAGAGGGUGCGAGCGUUAAUCGGAUUUACUGGGCGUAAAGAGUGCGUAGGCGGCUUCUUAAGUCGGAUGUGAAAUCCCUGAGCUUAACUUAGGAAUUGCAUUCGAUACUGGGAAGCUAGAGUAUGGGAGAGGAUGGUAGAAUUCCAGGUGUAGCGGUGAAAUGCGUAGAGAUCUGGAGGAAUACCGAUGGCGAAGGCAGCCAUCUGGCCUAAUACUGACGCUGAGGUACGAAAGCAUGGGGAGCAAACAGGAUUAGAUACCCCUGUAGUCCCUGUCUCUUAUAA